UGGGAUUUGGCAGAUGCUUUUCUAGGCAUAAAAAAGGAGGACAGGGACCAGCCUGGACAUCAAUAUUCCACAGAUGAACCCCUCAUUUAAGAGCGUGUCAGCACCCGCUGCCUGCCUCUUCUUGGCCCAGCAUGCUGUUCUCACACCGUCAGAAUGACAUGACCUCCAGAGAAUACUGGGGCUGCCUACACCGUGGGCUCCAUGCUCCCGAAUGCUGCCAAUUCCACCAUUAGUAUCUAUUCCUUAUCGAGAAAGGAUUGUCUCUUCAAACAGGUACUGUCCCAGAAGCGUUUCCCAGGAAAGAUGCUGGAAGACUUCCGCCCCAGCACAAUGCUGGUGUUCACACUCUCAAGCCCUGCCUGAGAAAGGGGACCCAGGCAAAGCUGCAGCGCGCAGAGAGAGCCUGUAAGAGCGACUCACUGCUGCCUCCAGCCAAGCCAGGGACACUUACGGGCUGGCCCUGCCACAAGAUUUUUCUGGGAUUUAAAAGCUGAGAACUGGAACGAUAUCCUUUUAGGGCGGCAAGAAGCCAAUGAAGAUGCUGCUGUUGGCCAGAGGGGAGCCCAAGGCCCCACUUGAGGAGCCCACCAGGGGCUGGUGGAUGGGGAGGGAGAGAGCAGCCUGUGAAAGGACAAGGGAGAAGGCCCAGGGAGGGCCGCUGUCCUGGAUCGCAGGCUACCCCAUGAUAGGAGUGGAAGAACGAGUGCCCAGCCCCCUGACCUUGGCCCUUGGCUGUAAAUGUCCCUCGUGUCCCUGUGGAGGAGAGACUCCUGCUGCAGAGUAGGGGUCUGGGUGUGCCUCCCAGCCCUCUCACUCCCACACCCUUAGCGUGACUUUAGAUGAGGCUGCUUCUCUGUUUUGCCCCAGGUUUUUCCAUUGAAAAAUGGGAGGUAAUUAUAACUUCUUUGCAAGAUGGGUGUGCUGAUUGCAGAGGAAGUGUGCCAUGGAGUAAGGUCUCAGUAACCCGCAGCUAUGCUCACAACUAGCUUUUUGGAAAACUGUAUUUAUUUAUUAUUUUUAAUGAGUGAAGAGUAACACUGCUUACUCCUACAGUGAAAUAGACACUGAGGACCUCAGGGAAGAGAUGGGGACCUCGCCCCUCCCUGAAUCACCACAGCCCAUAGAACACAGUGCCCUGUAGAUGGUCUUAACGGUCAAGAAAGUUGGACAGACUGGCUUGGAACCAGAAGUGCACAUGCUCAGAACUCGCCGAGCCUGUAGCGGGGUGCGACUCCGCUAACCUAGAGCCACUAUCUGGCAACAUGGAGCUGAAGGCUUGUAGUGAAACCUGCGAGCUGUGUUGUGGGAAUACAUGCCAGUGUGCGCUUGGCAGAACGCGUGGCUCCCAGGCCAACCACACUAGGGAAGUCACAGGCGAGGCUUUUAAAACCUUUUCUGUUAAAAGGAAAGGAUUCUUUUUGGCACCUCAUUACAAAUGGUCCUGAUGAGAGGUGUAGGAUGUGCAGGGCUCAGAGCCGAAAGGGCUAGAGUCCAGGCCCGGCUCUGCUGCUGGCCAACGUGUGACCCGGAGGUGGAAUUCCCUUCCCUGAGGUCCAAGAGGCUUCAUUUGCC
ensembl:lncRNA